GACGAACGCUGGCGGCGUGCUUAACACAUGCAAGUCGAACGAAGUGGCGAACGGGUGAGUAACGCGUAAUCAACCUGCCCUUCAGAGGGGGACAACAGUUGGAAACGACUACUAAUACCGCAUACGGAAGGAGGGGCUUGUGUCUGAUUAGCUAGUUGGAGGGUUAACGGCCAACCAAGGCGAUGCUAAGUAGCCGGGCUGAGAGGAUGAACGGCCACAGUGGGACUGAGCAAAGGCCCAGACUCGUACGGGAGGGAGCAGUGGGGGAUAUUGCACAAUGGGCGAAAGCCUGAUGCAGCGACGCCGCGUAGGGGAUGAGGGCUUUCGGGUUGUAAACCUCUUUCGCUAUCGAACGGGUAGGUGGAGAGGAAGCGACGGCUAACUACGUGCCAGCCGCCGCGGUAAUUC
rnacentral:rRNA from 1 species